UACACUUCCCAGGCAACCCUGCGCGGCGAGCGCGGCCGCAGCUUCCAGGCGCCGGUUGGGACGCGGGGGCCGAGGCGCAGGCGGGACGCAAUGGCUGCGUGGGGCGAGCGGCUGGCCGGAGUGCGCGGGGUGCUGCUCGACAUCUCAGGCGUGCUGUACGACGGCGGUGAGGGCGGUGGUGCGCCGAUUGUAGGCUCUGUGGAGGCGCUGGCGAGACUGAAGCGGUCCCAGCUGAAGGUGAGGUUCUGCACCAACGAGUCGCAGAAGUCCCGGGGAGACCUGGUGGCGAUGCUUCGGCGUCUGGGCUUCGACAUCUCAGAGGACGAGGUGACCGCCCCGGCCCCCGCCACCUGCCUGAUCCUGAAGGAGCGAGGCCUGCGGCCACACCUGCUUAUCCACGACGGAGUCCGCUCGGAAUUUGAUCAGAUCGACACAUCCAACCCAAACUGUGUCGUAAUUGCAGAUGCAGGAGAAGGCUUUUCUUAUCAAAACAUGAAUAAAGCUUUCCAGGUGCUCAUGGAGCUGGAGAAUCCUGUGCUCUUCUCACUGGGAAAAGGACGCUACUACAAGGAGACCUCUGGCCUGAUGCUGGACGUUGGUCCCUACAUGAAGGCGCUUGAGUAUGCCUGUGGUAUCGAAGCUGAGGUGGUGGGGAAACCUUCCCCUGAGUUUUUCAAGUCUGCUCUGCGGGAGAUGAGGGUGGAAGCCCACCAGGCCAUCAUGAUCGGGGACGACAUCGUGGGUGACAUCAGCGGUGCCCAGCGGUGUGGGAUGAGAGCGCUGCAGGUGCGGACCGGGAAGUUCAGGAGCAUCUUACGCACCAGGGUUUGGGGCACCUCCUGCAGAAGGCCCUCCUGCUCUAGGCAGCCCGCCGCCAUCACGGAGCUGGCGAGGGCCCAGUGACGAGCACCACCCGGAAGUAAAGGCUGAUGGCUAUGUGGACAACCUGGCGGAGGCUGUGGACCUGCUGCUGCAGCACGCGGACAAGUGACAGGCCUUCUGGGAGGGCCCCUAGCCUCCUGCCGCCCUCCCCUGUGCCCACACCAUCCGAGGCACUGCCCCCUGGCCUGGACGGGCAAGCGAGAGGGUGCCAGCCAGGCAGUUCUGGGCUGCCCUGCCCCUGAGCCACCAGCCCCUCCUCCGUCUCCCUCUGCCGACCCCCCUUCCCUCCUCCUCUCCGGGCACACCUCCCAGCCUCCUGGGCGAAGUUGGAUCCCCACCUGCUGGCCCAGCCCCUGCCUGUGCUUCCCUAGUGGAAGUCAAGAGGUGGGGCACAGCUGUCGAAUCCCCAAACCCAUUCUCUCUCCAGUCGGCCAGACCUUUCAAUGCGCUACCGAAUCGGACUCGUUUGCCCCCUGCCUCUUUUCAAACAGCACUUGAGUUUUAGGGAGGCGCCUGGAGAAAGCGGGGACUCCCAGCAGAGUCCUUGCGGCCAGAGCCGAGCCAGCCUCCCCGGGACUGCCCAGCGGCCCCUGCCCUCACCUGGUGUCAGAGGGACCGCUCAGCACUCCCCACGAACCCCCCAAACAACGCAGCCCGCCAUUUCUAUCCCAAGUCACCUCUGGAACCCAAAUGGAGCAGCUCCCAGGGGCACUUUAAAGACUGCCGUCCUUCGAGCAAGAAUUGUAAGCUCUGGAAUCCAGGUGGCAGGUGGAGGGUACCUUCUGGAGCCUGAACUCGAUAGACUUGAAUGUGUCACACCCAGGAAACUAACGGUUAAAUCAACUCUCUGCCCUGACCCAAGGCGACUCCGGCUCUGACUGCGCGGGGUGGGCGGCAGGGAGGAGGCACCGUCCCUGAUCCUGCCCUGGACUUGAGCCCCUGCACGUCAGGGGGCCAGGGCCCUGAGACACCUCGCCUGCCUCAAACCCUUUGUUUAACAGAGGGGGAAACUGAGGCCCCACGGGGACCAGGUGCACAGGGCAAGCGUGGGCCUUCCCUCACGCAGCAGCCCGAGGUGGCCGGCAGUGAGCCGCGGGCUUCCCAGAUGCACUCACAGCCCAAGUUUCAGGUUUCAGCAUCAGUCAGCAGAACAGGUAACUUGAAUGCUCUGCUUCUCCCCAAAUCCAUCCAGAACCCACUGACAAAUCUCGGGAGACUCCUCGUGAAAGAGGUCGUGAGUCUUCUGUCACAGGAUUUCCAUUAAACGAAGGCAGGUGAUGAUAGAACGCUUCGCCCUGAACCUGAGUCCCCAGCACGGGAGCAGGGCCGGCGGGGGUCUGUGCGGUCCCCAGGCCUUGCCCGCCAGGCCGGCCACCAUUAAAUCAGGAUUAGGAAGAAACGGUGGUAGCUGAGUCUCUUCAUCAAGAUGAGAGGCCACCGGCCAGGCUCGGGUCAUUGGCUUGCAGGGGAGGAGGGGCGUUUGGCCUGUUAGCUGGCAGAUAUGCAGAUGGCCUGCCCCUGGACGGAGUCCCCUAAUUCCAGCUCGUUAGGUGACCAGCGCAGUGUGGGCAGCAGGCACCAGGGCUCGGAAGGCGACUGUGCGGGGACGGGCCUGCAGCCUUCUGUUGGGUUUGUUCCCUCUUUUCUUUCUUUCCUUUUUCGUGGGCUGCCCUUGCCUGCUGUCCUCAGCAGGGGCUUGCAGGCAGGGCAGUAUGGUUCUGGAGGAAGGAGGCUGGGGGGGUCCCGCUCUCCAUGGACAAGUGGAGCCUCCCCUUGCGAGCUGCUGCCCAGGAGUGAGGACGGAGAGGGACUCGGGCAGCAGGCGCAGACCCCUGCUUUGGGUGGAGAACACGCUGCCCCCCCGAGCUGUGGGUUUUGUGAAGUGGACACUGUCAUCUCCCCAUUUUACAGGUAAGGAAACUGAGGUGCAGGGAAACUGACUUGCCUACGGGCUGACGGCUGGCAAGGAUAGAGCCGAGGCUCAAAUCAAGGUCUGACCCUGCAUCCCAUGCCCUUUCUAGUCCCUUCCAUGAUCCCUCCACAGGGGAUGACCUGUGGUGGUCCCGGUGGCUGUCUUUCCAGGCGAGGAGCACCUUGGCAUCCUCCCAGUGGAGAUGAAAUGUGCCUCGGGAUUGAGGUCCAGCCCUACUCUGGGGACACCAUGUACCCCCAAACCUCAGCUAUCCCAUCCUUCCCUGAGCCCUGCCGGGGACCAGGCCCGGCCAGGCCAGGGUGCCCCGUCGCCCCACUGGGGAUGCUGACCCCUCUCCUGCUGCGGCGCCGGGGGCUGCCCAGAAGUGAGGAUGACCUGCCUCACCCCUGGGUCCUUCCAGCUGUCGGGCCCUGGCCUGAUGCCCACCCUCCUUCCCCACCCCCAAGCAGGACAGUUCUUGGGCCAGAGAUAGACGGAGCCACAGGCCACAGGUAGGGCUGGAGUUCAGAGCUGGCAGUGGCCUGAGGACCUGUCUGUGGUCAGGAGAUGCGCCCCAGAUCUGCCACAGGGCCAGCAGACACUCCAGGCUCUGGGGCCACCCAGCAGAGCUGCUGGAAGGGGGAGGGACGGGUGGGGCAAAGGAGAGGGCAGGACGGGGGCACAAGGGCCUCACCUACCCCCAGAUCUCCCAACUCAAGCAUCCACAUGGUACCAGCCCUGUGUGAAAACCCGAUUCAAACUGGGUUAAUCCAGCAGGAGUUUAUCAUCUACGAGGCUUCCAAAUCCAGGCCUGGCUGGAUCCGGGUCCCAAGAAAGUCCCAGGCUGACCCUGGGGCAGGGCAAUGGCGGCUCCAGCCAAACUCGCACGGGAGAGGAGAGGGGCGUGGCACCAGGAGGGCAUCCACACCAUCCUCUCGCUGCCCUGCCGGGAGCUGGGAGCCAGGCUGAGGGGUCCGAGUCCUCGCCGGCAGGUGUGUGCCCACCAUGGGGCCCAGACAGCUGCGGCGCUUCUCUCCUCCUCAGAUCAGGGGGGCAUCCCCUCAGGACCUAACAGAUCUCCAGGCAGAACCUCUGCGGUCAGAUGAUAUGGGCCAACCUUGGGUUAUAGAAAUGACAGAAGCCUCCCUAAGCCUGUCCUCGAGGCUGCAAACAUCCUGGUCUCCUGAGCUUGGUUAGCGAGGGGUCCCUGACUUGGGGGCCAGGCACAGGGACCGUGUGCCCUGGAGCCCACUCUGAGCUGAGCUGUGAGUGCUGGCGACCCCUCGGCCCGAGCAGCACAGAUCUGAGCCGUGCUGCCCUCGGAGGAGCGUGGGGUCCCAGCCUCCGCCCCCUCCCUGGUGACCCUGGUGGGCAGGGGGCCCCGCAGGCCCACAGGGCUCCAGGCCAGGCGCCCUGCAGCAGUGCAUCCUGGAGCAGCUGCUGCGUGGCCUCGCAUGGCAGGCAUCUCCAGCCGGAACACACAGACCUGACCCUGCGGCUCGGAGGGGAUAGAAGGGCCCAGGCUCCGCCCGUGCCAGUCCAGAGCGAAGGGUCCCAAAGGCAGAGGGGGGACCCUCCGAUCUGCCACACCCAACAGAAAGCACACAGCCGGCUCCCGGCAGCUGGGUAUUGAACCAGGAAGCUUUAUUUACACAGUGAAAGUAACAAGCAAAUUCCUGAGAGACUAGAGCGGCUCUAGUGCAAGACAGUCGCGGCCCGUGCGGAGGACAGGCUGCGGUGGGUGGAGGUGGGGGACAGACCCAGCGCCUCUGCACCCAGCGCUUCGCCCCGGGCAGGGGCCUGGCCCAACACUGCCCGUCCUGGCCGCCACACUUCCUGAGGCUCCCCAGUGCCCACGAGGUACAGCUGGGAAAGCGCACACGGCCCGAGAAACCGCGGACUCGCCGUCCCCGCGCCCCGGGGCAUCGCCCACCCCCGCACUGAAACACAAUUUCUUUGCCAAAGAGACUAUGCUAGAAGGUCAGACUAUCCUACCUAGGCUACAAGAUCUCCGCUGCGGUCUGGGAUUUCUUUUUUUUUUUUUUAAUCUUUUUCUCUUUCAAGAGGAAUGGUUUUUUCUGGCACCAAUGGGAGGGGUCGGGCCAACUGUGUGGUCGUGGCAAGACGCGGCACAACUGCCUACACGGAGGCACCGCCCUGGCCGGGCUGCCGCCCCAGCGCCGGGGUGGGGGGGUACCGCUCGCGCCCCAGGCCGCGGGGCCUGAAGCGGUCAUCGUUCGGGUGACCGGCCCCGAGGCCAGAGCACACGCGACUUGAGCCUGCGGUGGGGCACCCAGGGCUUGCGCUGAGGGCCCCGGCAGUGCCAGCCAGAGCGCGGAAACGAACACGCCAACCCUGCCUGGAGACCCAUUUGGAUGUUGGGUUUGUUUAUUUUUCUAAGGUGGACUUCUCCUUUAUUUAAAUUUUCUUUCCGCAUACAAAUUCACAAGACUUUCCUGCUACAAAAAUUUUGCUGAAAAGUAAGGCUUUCUGAGAAUGAAAAUUCAUAUGCAUGAUCAGAA